AGUCGAGCGGAAACGAUGGGAGCUUGCUCCCAGGCGUCGAGCGGCGGACGGGUGAGUAACGCGUAGGAAUCUACCCAGUAGUGGGGGAUAGCCCGGGGAAACUCGGAUUAAUACCGCAUACGCCCUACGGGGGAAAGGCCGGGAUCUUCGGACCGGUCGCUAUUGGAUGAGCCUGCGUUGGAUUAGCUAGUUGGUAGGGUAAAGGCCUACCAAGGCGACGAUCCAUAGCUGGUCUGAGAGGAUGAUCAGCCACACUGGAACUGAGACACGGUCCAGACUCCUACGGGAGGCAGCAGUGGGGAAUAUUGGACAAUGGGCGCAACCCUGACACAGCCAUGCCGCGUGUGUGAAGAAGGCCUUAGGGUUGUAAAGCACUUUCAGUAGGGAGGAACUAGCAGCGUUAAUACCGCUGUGAGAUGACGUUACCUACAGAAGAAGAUCCGGCUAACUCCGUGCCAGCAGCCGCGGUAAUACGGAGGGAUCGAACGUUAAUCGGAAUUACUGGGCGUAAAGCGCGCGUAGGUGGUUUGUUAAGUGGGAUGUGAAAGCCCCGGGCUCAACCU
rnacentral:rRNA from 1 species